ACCCAUUGAGUGGGGGAUAACGUAGCGAAAGUUGCGCUAAUACCGCAUAUUCUGUGAGCAGGAAAGCAGGGGACCGCAAGGCCUUGCGCUCUUUGAGCGGCCGAUGUCAGAUUAGCUAGUUGGUGAGGUAAAGGCUUACCAAGGCGACGAUCCGUAGCGGGUCUGAGAGGAUGAUCCGCCACACUGGAACUGAGACACGGUCCAGACUCCUACGGGAGGCAGCAGUGGGGAAUUUUGGACAAUGGGGGCAACCCUGAUCCAGCCAUGCCGCGUAAGUGAAGAAGGCCUUCGGGUUGUAAAGCUCUUUCGGCCGGGAAGAAAUCGCAUGGGCCAAUACCCUGUGUGGAUGACGGUACCGGAAUAAGAAGCACCGGCUAACUACGUGCCAGCAGCCGCGGUAAUACGUAGGGUGCGAGCGUUAAUCGGAAUUACUGGGCGUAAAGCGUGCGCAGGCGGUUUUGUAAGACAGGCGUGAAAUCCCCGGGCUUAACCUGGGAACUGCGUUUGUGACUGCAAGGCUAGAGUACGGCAGAGGGGGGUGGAAUUCCACGUGUAGCAGUGAAAUGCGUAGAGAUGUGGAGGAACACCAAUGGUAAGGCAGCCCCCUGGGUCGAUACUGACGCUCAUGCACGAAAGCGUGGGUAGCAAACAGGACUAGAUACCCUGGUAGUCCACGCCCUAAACUAUGUCAACUAGGUGUUGGGUGGGUAAAACCAUUUAGUACCGUAGCUAACGCGUGAAGUUGACCGCCUGGGGAGUACGGCCGCAAGGUUAAAACUCAAAGGAAUUGACGGGGACCCGCACAAGCGGUGGAUGAUGUGGAUUAAUUCGAUGCAACGCGAAAAACCUUACCUACCCUUGACAUGCCAGGAACUUGCCAGAGAUGGCUUGGUGCCCGAAAGGGAGCCUGGACACAGGUGCUGCAUGGCUGUCGUCAGCUCGUGUCGUGAGAUGUUGGGUUAAGUCCCGCAACGAGCGCAACCCUUGUCGUUAAUUGCCAUCAUUUAGUUGGGCACUUUAACGAGACUGCCGGUGACAAACCGGAGGAAGGUGGGGAUGACGUCAAGUCCUCACGGCCCUUAUGGGUAGGGCUUCACACGUCAUACAAUGGUCGGUACAAAGGGUUGCCAAGCCGCGAGGCGGAGCCAAUCCCAGAAAGCCGAUCGUAGUCCGGAUUGCAGGCUGCAACUCGCCUGCAUGAAGUCGGAAUCGCUAGUAAUCGUGGAUCAGCAUGUCACGGUGAAUACGUUCCCGGGUCUUGUACACACCGCCCGUCACACCAUGGGAGCGGGUUCCGCCAGAAGUAGGUAGCCUAACCGCAAGGGGGGCGCUUACCACGGCGGGGUUCGUGACUGGGGUGAAGUCGUAACAAGGUA
rnacentral:rRNA from 1 species